rnacentral:misc_RNA from 1 species
GAACGCACCUUGCGCCCUUUGGCUAUUCCGAAGGGCAUGCCUGUUUGAGCGUCAUUAUAACCCCUCAAGCCUAGCUUGGUGUUGGGGCCUGCUGUUGCCGGCAGCCCUUAAAAUCAGUGGCGGUGCCAUCUGGCCCUAAGCGUAGUAAUACUUCUCGCUACAGGGUCCCGGUGGAUGCCUGCCAUCAACCCCUAAAUUUCUAUGGUUGACCUCGGAUCGGGUAGGGAUACCCGCUAAACUUAAG